GGUUAAGUUAGAAAGGGCGCACGGUGGAUGCCUUGACACUAGGAGUCGAUGAAGGACGGGACUAACGCCGAUAUGCUUCGGGGAGCUGUAAGUAAGCUUUGAUCCGAAGAUUUCCGAAUGGGGAAACCCACCAUACGUAAUGGUAUGGUAUCCUUAUCUGAAUACAUAGGGUAAGGAAGACAGACCCAGGGAACUGAAACAUCUAAGUACCUGGAGGAAGAGAAAGCAAAUGCGAUUUCCUGAGUAGCGGCGAGCGAAACGGAACAUAGCCCAAACCAAGAGGCUUGCCUCUUGGGGUUGUAGGACAUUCUAUACGGAGUUACAAAGGAACGAGGUAGACGAAGCGACCUGGAAAGGUCCGUCGUAGAGGGUAACAACCCCGUAGUCGAAACUUCGUUCUCUCUUGAAUGUAUCCUGAGUACGGCGGAACACGUGAAAUUCCGUCGGAAUCUGGGAGGACCAUUUCCCAAGGCUAAAUACUCCCUAGUGAUCGAUAGUGAACCAGUACCGUGAGGGAAAGGUGAAAAGCACCCCGGAAGGGGAGUGAAAGAGAUCCUGAAACCGUGUGCCUACAAAUAGUCAGAGCCCGUUAACGGGUGAUGGCGUGCCUUUUGUAGAAUGAACCGGCGAGUUACGAUCCCGUGCGAGGUUAAGCUGAAGAGGCGGAGCCGCAGCGAAAGCGAGUCUGAAUAGGGCGUUUAGUACGUGGUCGUAGACCCGAAACCAGGUGAUCUACCCAUGUCCAGGGUGAAGUUCAGGUAACACUGAAUGGAGGCCCGAACCCACGCACGUUGAAAAGUGCGGGGAUGAGGUGUGGGUAGCGGAGAAAUUCCAAUCGAACCUGGAGAUAGCUGGUUCUCCCCGAAAUAGCUUUAGGGCUAGCCUUAAGUGUAAGAGUCUUGGAGGUAGAGCACUGAUUGGACUAGGGGUCCUCAUCGGAUUACCGAAUUCAGUCAAACUCCGAAUGCCAAUGACUUAUCCUUAGGAGUCAGACUGCGAGUGAUAAGAUCCGUAGUCAAAAGGGAAACAGCCCAGACCGCCAGCUAAGGUCCCAAAGUGUGUAUUAAGUGGAAAAGGAUGUGGAGUUGCUUAGACAACUAGGAUGUUGGCUUAGAAGCAGCCACCAUUUAAAGAGUGCGUAAUAGCUCACUAGUCGAGUGACUCUGCGCCGAAAAUGUACCGGGGCUAAAUACACCACCGAAGCUGCGGAUUGAUACCAAUGGUAUCAGUGGUAGGGGAGCGUUCUAAGGACAGUGAAGUCAGACCGGAAGGACUGGUGGAGUGCUUAGAAGUGAGAAUGCCGGUAUGAGUAGCGAAAGACGGGUGAGAAUCCCGUCCACCGAAUGCCUAAGGUUUCCUGAGGAAGGCUCGUCCGCUCAGGGUUAGUCAGGACCUAAGCCGAGGCCGACAGGCGUAGGCGAUGGACAACAGGUUGAUAUUCCUGUACCACCUCUUUAUCGUUUGAGCAAUGGAGGGACGCAGAAGGAUAGAAGAAGCGUGCGAUUGGUUGUGCACGUCCAAGCAGUUAGGCUGAUAAGUAGGCAAAUCCGCUUAUCGUGAAGGCUGAGCUGUGAUGGGGAAGCUCCUUAUGGAGCGAAGUCUUUGAUUCCCCGCUGCCAAGAAAAGCUUCUAGCGAGAUAAAAGGUGCCUGUACCGCAAACCGACACAGGUAGGCGAGGAGAGAAUCCUAAGGUGUGCGAGAGAACUCUGGUUAAGGAACUCGGCAAAAUGACCCCGUAACUUCGGGAGAAGGGGUGCUUUCUUAACGGAAAGCCGCAGUGAAUAGGCCCAAGCGACUGUUUAGCAAAAACACAGCUCUCUGCGAAGCCGUAAGGCGAAGUAUAGGGGGUGACACCUGCCCGGUGCUGGAAGGUUAAGGAGAGGGGUUAGCGUAAGCGAAGCUCUGAACUGAAGCCCCAGUAAACGGCGGCCGUAACUAUAACGGUCCUAAGGUAGCGAAAUUCCUUGUCGGGUAAGUUCCGACCCGCACGAAAGGUGUAACGAUUUGGGCACUGUCUCAACCAGAGACUCGGUGAAAUUAUAGUACCUGUGAAGAUGCAGGUUACCCGCGACAGGACGGAAAGACCCCGUGGAGCUUUACUGUAGCCUGAUAUUGAAUUUUGGUACAGUUUGUACAGGAUAGGCGGGAGCCAUUGAAACCGGAGCGCUAGCUUCGGUGGAGGCGCUGGUGGGAUACCGCCCUGACUGUAUUGAAAUUCUAACCUACGGGUCUUAUCGACCCGGGAGACAGUGUCAGGUGGGCAGUUUGACUGGGGCGGUCGCCUCCUAAAGUGUAACGGAGGCGCCCAAAGGUUCCCUCAGAAUGGUUGGAAAUCAUUCGUAGAGUGCAAAGGCAUAAGGGAGCUUGACUGCGAGACCUACAAGUCGAGCAGGGACGAAAGUCGGGCUUAGUGAUCCGGUGGUUCCGCAUGGAAGGGCCAUCGCUCAACGGAUAAAAGCUACCCCGGGGAUAACAGGCUUAUCUCCCCCAAGAGUCCACAUCGACGGGGAGGUUUGGCACCUCGAUGUCGGCUCAUCGCAUCCUGGGGCUGUAGUCGGUCCCAAGGGUUGGGCUGUUCGCCCAUUAAAGCGGUACGCGAGCUGGGUUCAGAACGUCGUGAGACAGUUCGGUCCCUAUCCGUCGUGGGCGUAGGAAAUUUGAGAGGAGCUGUCCUUAGUACGAGAGGACCGGGAUGGACGCACCGCUGGUGUACCAGUUGUUCUGCCAAGGGCAUAGCUGGGUAGCUAUGUGCGGAAGGGAUAAGUGCUGAAAGCAUCUAAG
rnacentral:rRNA from 1 species